rnacentral:misc_RNA from 1 species
GGGGAAACUCCCUUCUCCAACGGAAAACGCCUUUGGGGUGGAUCACAGUGCUGCAUCAGAGCCGACAAAAGUGAUCCAAGGGUUGUGUCUUGGAGCUCUUGUAAAGUGUGAGGAGUGGAUGCCACUGUAUUGCAGUCAUCAUUGUUCCCAGGAAUCGCAUGAUCAGCCUGAUAUUUGGCAAUUGCUGCAGGGCCGUUUCUGUCGAAUCUGACUUUCUCUUUCCACCAGGCACGAAGAUUAUCAGAGGCUCCACUAACUGGCUUUCCUUUCUCAGGAAUAAUCCCAUAAACGAAUCCUUGAGCUUUACAGACCUCCAUCAUUUUCAACAUAUACUUCAGGAUCCCAUCUUGAGCCCGAG